GUAGGUGGCAAGCGUUGUCCGGAAUUAUUGGGCGUAAAGCGCGCGCAGGCGGUUCUUUAAGUCUGAUGUGAAAGCCCACGGCUCAACCGUGGAGGGUCAUUGGAAACUGGAGAACUUGAGUACAGAAGAGGAAAGCGGAAUUCCACGUGUAGCGGUGGAAUGCGUAGAGAUGUGGAGGAACACCAGUGGCGAAGGCGGCUUUCUGGUCUGUAACUGACGCUGAGGCGCGAAAGCGUGGGGAGCAAACAGGAUUAGAUACCCUGGUAGUCCACGCCGUAAACGAUGAGUGCUAAGUGUUAGGGGGUUUCCGCCCCCCUUAGUGCUGCAGCUAACGCAUUAAGCACUCCGCCUGGGAUACGGCCGCAAGGCUG
rnacentral:rRNA from 1 species